AACGCACCUUGCGCUCCUUGGUAUCCAUCCCGAGGAGCAUGCCUGUUUGAGUGUCGUGAAAUUCUCAAUCUCGUUUAAUCUUUGACGAGUUUGGAUUCUGGAGGUUUGCUGGCGAAAGUUGGCUCCUCUGAAAUGUAUUAGUGAAACCCUUCCAAACGGAAAAUGGGCUUUGGUUUGAUAAUUGCUUUGUCUAUGCCAUUGCUGUUCGCCGUGAUGAUUUCGCUUACAACUGUCUUCGGACAAAUCUUGACAUCAUUUGACCUCAAAUCAGGUAGGACUACCCGCUGAACUUAA
rnacentral:misc_RNA from 1 species